CACGUCAGCGCGCUUUGCUGAUGUGGACACAAAUCGCUCUUUCGUGGAAGCAUUUGUUUCCACGUUAGCAAAGCGCUCUGACGUGG
rfam:Gossypium hirsutum cultivar TM-1 chromosome 25, whole genome shotgun sequence